rnacentral:rRNA from 1 species
ACGGUACAACGAGUCGCAAGCUCGCGAGAGUAAGCUAAUCUCUUAAAGCCGUUCUCAGUUCGGACUGUAGGCUGCAACUCGCCCACACGAAGUCGGAAUCGCUAGUAAUCGCGGAUCAGCAUGCCGCGGUGAAUACGUUCCCGGGCCUUGUACACACCGCCCGUCACACCAUGGGAGUUUGUAACGCCCAAAGUCGGUGGCCUAACCUUUAUGGAGGGAGCCGCCUAAGGCGGGACAGAUGACUGGGGUGAAGUCGUAACAAGGUACC